GACGAACGCUGGCGGCGUGCCUAAUACAUGCAAGUCGAACGCAGUGGGGACGGGUGAGUAACACGUGGGUAACCUCCCGUCAGAGGGGAUAACACUUGGAAACAGGUGCUAAACCGCUACUGAUGGAUGGACCCGCGGUGCAUUAGCUAGUUGGUGGGGUAACGGCUCACCAAGUCCACGAUGCAUAGCCGACCGGAGAGGGUGAUCGGCCACACGGGGACUGAGACACGGCCCAGACUCCUACGGGAGGCAGCAGUGGGGAAUCUUCGGCAAUGGACGAAAGCCUGACCGAGCAACGCCGCGUGAGUGAAGAAGGCUUUCGGAUCGUAAAGUACUGUUGUCAGAGAAGCGUUAUCUAACCAGAAAGCCACGGCUAACUACGUGCCAGCAGCCGCGGUAAUUC
rnacentral:rRNA from 1 species